GACGAACGCUGGCGGCGUGCCUAAUACAUGCAAGUAGAACGCUGAAGGGAGAGCUUGCUCUUCUGGAUGAGUUGCGAACGGGUGAGUAACGCGUAGGUAACCUGCCUGGUAGCGGGGGAUAACUAUUGGAAACGAUAGCUAAUACCGCAUAACAUUGACUAUUGCAUGAUAGUUAAUUGAAAGGUGCAAAUGCACCACUACCAGAUGGACCUGCGUUGUAUUAGCUAGUUGGUGGGGUAACGGCUCACCAAGGCGACGAUACAUAGCCGACCUGAGAGGGUGAUCGGCCACACUGGGACUGAGACACGGCCCAGACUCCUACGGGAGGCAGCAGUAGGGAAUCUUCGGCAAUGGACGGGAAGUCUGACCGAGCAACGCCGCGUGAGUGAAAGAAGGUUUUUCGGAUUCGUAAAAGCUCUGUUGUAAGAG
rnacentral:rRNA from 1 species